ACCCAACAGAAUGCACAUCCCUCUGACAAUGUUGUGGGCCUACUCUGUUCUAUUCCUGGGAUGGUUCUUCUCAGGUUCGGAGUCCCAGCUGACGUUAACUCAACCAGCCUCCAUGUCUGCAUCUCCGGGAUUAACGUUUAACAUCCCUUGCCAAAUGAACAGUGGCUACACCAUUAACAGCGAGAGAGCCAGGUGGUACCAACAGAAACCAGGUGGCAUCCCACGGUUUCUGUACCACUAUUAUACCAGCACUGAUCAAGGCAGGGGAGAAGGAGUCCCAGAGAGAUUCAGCGUUUCCCCCGAUGCCUCCCAGAACCUCUGGAAUCUCGUGAUCAAUGGAGUUCAAGUGGAAGACGAUGCUGUUUAUUAUUGUAGCACAUGGGACUACAAACUUACUGGGCGCACAGUGAUUGAUCUUUAUGGGGAACUGAGACAAAAACCUUUCGCUCGUCACACCCCAUCUGGCAUCUGCAGGUGA